GAUGAACGCUGGCGGCGUGCUUAACACAUGCAAGUCGAACGAUGAAGCCCAGCUUGCUGGGUGGAUUAGUGGCGAACGGGUGAGUAACACGUGAGUAACCUGCCCUUUACUCUGUGAUAAGCCUGGGAAACUGGGUCUAAUACUGGAUAUGACUUCUCACCGCAUGGUGGGGGGUGGAAAGAUUUAUUGGUCUUGGAUGGACUCGCGGCCUAACAGCUUGUUGGGGAGGUAAUGGCUCACCAAGGCGACGACGGGUAGCCGGCCUGGGAGGGUGACCGGCCACCCUGGGACUGAGAGACGGCGCAGACUGCUACGGUAGGCAGCAGUCGGGAAUAUUGCACAAUGGGCGCGAGCCUGAGGCAGAGACGCCGCGUUUGGGAUGACGGCCUUCGGGUUGUAAACCUCUUUCAGUAGGGAAGAAGCGAGAGUGACGGUACCUGAAGAAUAAGCGCCGGCUAACUACGUG
rnacentral:rRNA from 1 species